UGGGGAAUUUUGGACAAUGGGGGAAACCCUGAUCCAGCCAUCCCGCGUGUGCGAUGAAGGCCUUCGGGUUGUAAAGCACUUUUGGCAGGAAAGAAACGUCAUGGGUUAAUACCCCGUGAAACUGACGGUACCUGCAGAAUAAGCACCGACUAACUACGUGCCAGCAGCCGCGGUAAUACGUAGGGUGCAAGCGUUAAUCGGAAUUACUGGGCGUAAAGCGUGCGCAGGCGGUUCGGAAAGAAAGAUGUGAAAUCCCAGAGCUCAACUUUGGAACUGCAUUUUUAACUACCGGGCUAGAGUGUGUCAGAGGGGGGUGGAAUUCCGCGUGUAGCAGUGAAAUGCGUAGAUAUGCGGAGGAACACCGAUGGCGAAGGCAGCCUCCUGGGAUAACACUGACGCUCAUGCACGAAAGCGUGGGAAGCAAACAGG
rnacentral:rRNA from 1 species